rnacentral:rRNA from 1 species
GAUGAACGCUGGCGGCGUGCCUAAUACAUGCAAGUCGAGCGAACGGACGAGAAGCUUGCUUCUCUGAUGUUAGCGGCGGACGGGUGAGUAACACGUGGAUAACCUACCUAUAAGACUGGGAUAACUUCGGGAAACCGGAGCUAAUACCGGAUAAUAUUUUGAACCGCAUGGUUCAAAAGUGAAAGACGGUCUUGCUGUCACUUAUAGAUGGAUCCGCGCUGCAUUAGCUAGUUGGUAAGGUAACGGCUUACCAAGGCAACGAUGCAUAGCCGACCUGAGAGGGUGAUCGGCCACACUGGAACUGAGACACGGUCCAGACUCCUACGGGAGGCAGCAGUAGGGAAUCUUCCGCAAUGGGCGAAAGCCUGACGGAGCAACGCCGCGUGAGUGAUGAAGGUCUUCGGAUCGUAAAACUCUGUUAUUAGGGAAGAACAUAUGUGUAAGUAACUGUGCACAUCUUGACGGUACCUAAUCAGAAAGCCACGGCUAACUACGUGCCAGCAGCCGCGGUAAUACGUAGGUGGCAAGCGUUAUCCGGAAUUAUUGGGCGUAAAGCGCGCGUAGGCGGUUUUUUAAGUCUGAUGUGAAAGCCCACGGCUCAACCGUGGAGGGUCAUUGGAAACUGGAAAACUUGAGUGCAGAAGAGGAAAGUGGAAUUCCAUGUGUAGCGGUGAAAUGCGCAGAGACAUGGAGGAACACCAGUGGCGAAGGCGACUUUCUGGUCUGUAACUGACGCUGAUGUGCGAAAGCGUGGGGAUCAAACAGGAUUAGAUACCCUGGUAGUCCACGCCGUAAACGAUGAGUGCUAAGUGUUAGGGGGUUUCCGCCCCUUAGUGCUGCAGCUAACGCAUUAAGCACUCCGCCUGGGGAGUACGACCGCAAGGUUGAGACUCAAAGGAAUUGACGGGGACCCGCACAAGCGGUGGAGCAUGUGGUUUAAUUCGAAGCAACGCGAAGAACCUUACCAAAUCUUGACAUCCUUUGACAACUCUAGAGAUAGAGCCUUCCCCUUCGGGGGACAAAGUGACAGGUGGUGCAUGGUUGUCGUCAGCUCGUGUCGUGAGAUGUUGGGUUAAGUCCCGCAACGAGCGCAACCCUUAAGCUUAGUUGCCAUCAUUAAGUUGGGCACUCUAAGUUGACUGCCGGUGACAAACCGGAGGAAGGUGGGGAUGACGUCAAAUCAUCAUGCCCCUUAUGAUUUGGGCUACACACGUGCUACAAUGGACAAUACAAAGGGCAGCGAAACCGCGAGGUCAAGCAAAUCCCAUAAAGUUGUUCUCAGUUCGGAUUGUAGUCUGCAACUCGACUACAUGAAGCUGGAAUCGCUAGUAAUCGUAGAUCAGCAUGCUACGGUGAAUACGUUCCCGGGUCU